AGUUUUGUGCAGUGGCAACAUCACAGCCAGUGAGGUUUGUCUGAGGAGUGAUUAUUGCUAAUUGAAAACUUUUCCCAAUACCCCACCAUGAUGGCUUGAAAUAUAGUUGGCAUUGGCAUUUUUUGACAGUCUGUAUGGAGA
rnacentral:snRNA from 1 species